CCUACGGGCGGCUGCAGUGGGGAAUAUUGCACAAUGGGCGCAAGCCUGAUGCAGCCAUGCCGCGUGUGUGAAGAAGGCCUUCGGGUUGUAAAGCACUUUCAGCGGGGAGGAAGGCGUUAAGGUUAAUAACCUUGGCGAUUGACGUUACCCGCAGAAGAAGCACCGGCUAACUCCGUGCCAGCAGCCGCGGUAAUACGGAGGGUGCAAGCGUUAAUCGGAAUUACUGGGCGUAAAGCGCACGCAGGCGGUCUGUCAAGUCGGAUGUGAAAUCCCCGGGCUCAACCUGGGAACUGCAUUCGAAACUGGCAGGCUAGAGUCUUGUAGAGGGGGGUAGAAUUCCAGGGGUAGCGGUGAAAUGCGUAGAGAUCUGGAGGAAUACCGGUGGCGAAGGCGGCCCCCUGGACAAAGACUGACGCUCAGGUGCGAAAGCGUGGGGAGCAAACAGGAUUAGAUACCCUAGUAGUC
rnacentral:rRNA from 1 species